UGUGAUGAUAUAAAAUAUGAACAAGGUCUCCGUUGGUGAACCAGCGGAGGGAUCAUUA
rnacentral:rRNA from 1 species